UACAGAGGGUGCGAGCGUUGUCCGGAAUCACUGGGCGUAAAGGGCGCGUAGGUGGCGGCCCAAGUCCGUGGUGAAAGCUCGAUGCUUAACAUCGAGUCGGCCACGGAGACUGGGUGGCUCGAGCACUGUAGGGGCAGAUGGAAUUCCGGGUGUAGCGGUGGAAUGCGUAGAGAUCCGGAAGAACACCGGUGGCGAAGGCGGUCUGCUGGGCAGUUGCUGACACUGAGGCGCGACAGCGUGGGGAGCGAACAGG
rnacentral:rRNA from 1 species